rnacentral:lncRNA from 1 species
UAAGUGGUUAAGUUGGGAAUAAUAUCGGUGUUGUUAGUAGUGGGCCGCUAACCCAUCUCUCUAAAUUUAACACCUCCAACUUGUGAAAAGACAAUUUAGUGACUGUUCAACAAGCAUGUUAAUUACACCAUUACGUAUUUGAUUUUUCUUUUCUUUGUUUUUUUUUAAUAUUGUUUUUUGAUAGUUGGAUUAUAUCAAAGCUCAAACGAAUAGUUUUCUUUCACAGAGCUCACUAAAAAGACAUGUUGGGAUAAUAUUGGUAUUGUUAAUAUAUACUAUUAUAUCAUUGUGGGAUAAAUUAGAAAUUUUAUUUCACCAAUAUCCAAUAUCUUUAUUUUUCAAGUCUCCAUUUAUAAAUCUUCCUUACAAAAAAUUAGACAAAUUGAGUAGAAUUAAACCAUCUAUGAACAAAAUAGACGAAUACCAUACUUUAAGAAAACACACUAAAAUAACAUUGAAUACUUAAAAACUAGACCAUUCAUAUCUUUGAAAUUCAAUAUAAAGUAGGCUCAUAAUAGUGUUAUUUGAGGAAUCCUUCAACUGUGUGUAUAUACAUACAUAUUAUAAGUUGUGUUGUUGAUUUAAACCAUCCCCCACAUCAUAUGACAUACAAGUCAAAAAUGCAUCUCACAGAAUUCAUCUGUUGGAGAUUGUGGAGAUUAUGUUCGAAAGGCAAUUGCUCGGAUUCGGGGACUAUGCCUUUACAACAGAGCUGCAGUCAUACGGUUUGGGGCAUGCCACGUCAAAUACUCGAACAAUGAUUUCUCAG